UGAGAAUUCUCUCGCCUGCUUUCGACCCUUAGGCUCUGGUAGAUUGCAAAUAACCUGCUUUCUUUCUGUUCCCGGGCGGCGUGGGACCCCUGUCGGAUAGUCAAUCCCAAUUAAGGUACCCGCCGUCGGCAGAUUUGAGCUUUCUUCUUGGACACCUAAUACCCACAGUCCUCCAGGCUCUGGUAGAUUGCAAAUGACCUGCUUACUUUCUGUUCCCGGGCUGCGUUCUGACACCUGUUGGACAGUAAAUCCCAAGAUAACUUCAGGAAGUGGGUAUUAAUUCUCACUGUAUAAGUGAAGACAUUAAGCACCAGAGUUUAAGUAGCUUGAUCCACUGAAAGAGAUUCAACUGUGUGGAACCUAUGCCGCGGAGAAUUGCUUUCUGCCAUUGUUAUUGUCCAGCAGUUGCCGAAUAGCUCUGACCUGAGCAAAGCAGUGAAACGCGGUGCUGUUGAGUGGGUUGCCACUGCACCUUUUUCAACUACUCUAGUCUUGUGGAGAAAACACCCCUUCUAAAUUUUUUCUUCAUUGAAUACUCUCCCUCAGCUCCAGGGUACCAUAUAGAGUUUUCUUGUAUUUUAGAGUUACUGUUUUAUCAAAGUGUACCAGUCUUUUGUAUUACAUUUCUCCUGUCUAAAUCAACUGUGUGGUUUCUACUCAUUAUGGAUAUAGAUUGACACAAACUCAAUAAAUAUUUUUGAA
rnacentral:lncRNA from 1 species